AGAGUUUGAUCAUGGCUCAGAUUGAACGCUGGCGGCAGGCCUAACACAUGCAAGUCGAACGGUAACAGAAAGCAGCUUGCUGCUUUGCUGACGAGUGGCGGACGGGUGAGUAAUGUCUGGGAAACUGCCUGAUGGAGGGGGAUAACUACUGGAAACGGUAGCUAAUACCGCAUAACGUCGCAAGACCAAAGAGGGGGACCUUCGGGCCUCUUGCCAUCGGAUGUGCCCAGAUGGGAUUAGCUUGUUGGUGGGGUAACGGCUCACCAAGGCGACGAUCCCUAGCUGGUCUGAGAGGAUGACCAGCCACACUGGAACUGAGACACGGUCCAGACUCCUACGGGAGGCAGCAGUGGGGAAUAUUGCACAAUGGGCGCAAGCCUGAUGCAGCCAUGCCGCGUGUAUGAAGAAGGCCUUCGGGUUGUAAAGUACUUUCAGCGGGGAGGAAGGGAGUAAAGUUAAUACCUUUGCUCAUUGACGUUACCCGCAGAAGAAGCACCGGCUAACUCCGUGCCAGCAGCCGCGGUAAUACGGAGGGUGCAAGCGUUAAUCGGAAUUACUGGGCGUAAAGCGCACGCAGGCGGUUUGUUAAGUCAGAUGUGAAAUCCCCGGGCUCAACCUGGGAACUGCAUCUGAUACUGGCAAGCUUGAGUCUCGUAGAGGGGGGUAGAAUUCCAGGUGUAGCGGUGAAAUGCGUAGAGAUCUGGAGGAAUACCGGUGGCGAAGGCGGCCCCCUGGACGAAGACUGACGCUCAGGUGCGAAAGCGUGGGGAGCAAACAGGAUUAGAUACCCUGGUAGUCCACGCCGUAAACGAUGUCGACUUGGAGGUUGUGCCCUUGAGGCGUGGCUUCCGGAGCUAACGCGUUAAGUCGACCGCCUGGGGAGUACGGCCGCAAGGUUAAAACUCAAAUGAAUUGACGGGGGCCCGCACAAGCGGUGGAGCAUGUGGUUUAAUUCGAUGCAACGCGAAGAACCUUACCUGGUCUUGACAUCCACAGAACCUUGUAGAGAUACGAGGGUGCCUUCGGGAACUGUGAGACAGGUGCUGCAUGGCUGUCGUCAGCUCGUGUUGUGAAAUGUUGGGUUAAGUCCCGCAACGAGCGCAACCCUUAUCCUUUGUUGCCAGCGGUCCGGCCGGGAACUCAAAGGAGACUGCCAGUGAUAAACUGGAGGAAGGUGGGGAUGACGUCAAGUCAUCAUGGCCCUUACGACCAGGGCUACACACGUGCUACAAUGGCGCAUACAAAGAGAAGCGACCUCGCGAGAGCAAGCGGACCUCAUAAAGUGCGUCGUAGUCCGGAUUGGAGUCUGCAACUCGACUCCAUGAAGUCGGAAUCGCUAGUAAUCGUGGAUCAGAAUGCCACGGUGAAUACGUUCCCGGGCCUUGUACACACCGCCCGUCACACCAUGGGAGUGGGUUGCAAAAGAAGUAGGUAGCUUAACCUUCGGGAGGGCGCUUACCACUUUGUGAUUCAUGACUGGGGUGAAGUCGUAACAAGGUAACCGUAGGGGAACCUGCGGUUGGAUCACCU
rnacentral:rRNA from 2 species